AUAUAUCAUAAGCUGAUUGAAAUGUGUGAACGUUUCAGUGUUUCGAAGACUAAGUUUCGUAGCAGAUUUCGAUUCCGUCACGGGAUUCUGAGCGAAGCGAUGAACAUAUUGAUUUUACAAUGAUGUACCUCAACUCGACGUUGCUGUAAGUCCAGUCCAAUAAUAACAAUGGCGUAUCAGACGUCGCUCCCAAACCGGUCGACAUCCAUCUGCAUAACUCAUUCCGCAAGAAUGAGCGGUAUAGUUUGAAAACUUACCAAAGUUAUCUGGUGGAUGUCGAUACGUUGGUGAGCAGCCGUCGCACAUAGGUCUGAUGUACCUAUGGAAAGUUAUUAUUGGAUCGGUCAUAAUAGGUUGAGGUGUAACAGCAUUUUAGGGACUAUUGUAAUUCCCACUUCCAGGACUUUAUCAUACAUACAGCCGACAGCCCGAUGACCUACAUUUUUGUGUAUACCCUAUGAUGGCCGCGAAGUAACGAUCACGUCACCGUUUAUCAGAUUGCCCAGUUCGAAAGAGUCUCCAACAAUUUCAUCGGAUAGGUACGCCUUAAACCGUGGCAUAGCGCUGGGCCAGCAUCAUUUUAUCCGGAUCAAUAUCCAUAAAAAUGACGUCCCAAUUAUUAGAAGCUAAUAAUAUAGUGUCUUUGUCGAACAGUCAGCUGUACGAAGUUUCCGCUGUGCCACAAAACGGGUCGACGCCGGUCGCUGAACAUGGGAAGUCCUCAAGUCCACCCAGCAUCGUAUUGAUGAAUCAACAAUAUAUCUUACAUCUUACAUCUAUCAUUGCAAUCUUAUAAUUAUUCACCUGAAUGCAUGUAAUCCUGAAUGUACAGUUAAUUUAUUACUACCCAUCUACAA